rnacentral:lncRNA from 1 species
UUUUGAAAUUUUCUGUGGGGGUGGGGUCUCCCUAUGCUGCCCAGGCUGGUCGGCUGUUCUACUUUCAACUCACCCCAGCCCAGGCCCUUCACCUCUCCCUCUCUCUCACAUUUUCCAAGCCCUCCAGGCCCUAAACCACCUGAUACUGACUGGUACAUAGACGUGGAGUCUCACGUAAACCUCUGAAAAGAAAACUGCUGUUGAUUUGGACUCUGGAUACCAUUACCCAGCUCACGCUCCUUGCUGUGACGACUCAUUUGGACUCAUACACCUGCCCAGGGCAUCCAUGUACAUAAUCCUGUGAAUCAAAGGCAGGAGAGCACCCACAUGGACACUCGGGUCUGUGGCAUCCCCACCAAAUGAUGACUCAUCACCAGCUUGAAGACCUCUGCUUUUUCUGCUCGGCAAGGAGAAACGUGGCUCGAGCCUGCUGAGAGGGCCAGGAAGCAGCAGCAAAGGAAAGAAAGAUUGGAGGACUGGGAGUAAGAGAUACAGAAACAAAUGGAAUGCGACAUGCCAGAAAUGUAUCCCCUGCUGGAGCACCAGGCUGUAGGGGGGGAGGGACGAUGGGGCAGGGGCAGAGGGGCUGAAUGGGGCGUGGAGGGGGCAGGCCCUCGGCCUCUUUGCACCGGGCAGAGUGACGAGCUUCGCCGGUGUCUUCAUUGAAGUCCUGUUGGUCCCUACCGGCACAUCACACACUCCUGGAAGCAUGAUCUUCACUCCCUUCCUUCCACCUGCUGACCUGAAUGUGAAAGGGCCGCAAAAAGACCCUGAGGAAUUGGUUGCUGUAUCUGACACCGCGGAGGACCCAUCCAGUGGCACAGGCUUGCCCAGGGAACCUGCUCUUCUGCGAGGGUCUUGGAGGAGCCGGUUCCAGAGGGCCCUGGCAUGUUUCAUCAAGUGCUUCAGGCGAGAGCUCCUUCGGAGCCAGCCUCUGCCUGUCUCACUGGCUCGCCACCAAGCCCAUCCGCCUCCCCUUCCUGUUCCACCAAGAGAACCUCAGGCCAAGUCAGAAAUCCCCAGGGCUCCCGAGGGUCCACUUGUCACUCGCUUUCCUCCCUAGGGGAGGAUACCGGGCACUCGGAAUCUGAGACCACCGGAGCCACAGACACAGGCGUGAACGGUGACCGAGCCCCCUCUGAUGCUCCAUGCCCCUGCUCGCCCCAGUGUCCCGGUCACCGGGCCUGAAAUAAAUGCUGGCACGCUUGACUGUU